rnacentral:rRNA from 1 species
AUGAAGCAGCUCGCGAGCUCUUCCCGGCAAGGUCGCCACGGCCACGCCCUCCACCUCUUUUUCACCCGCCUGAGCCUCCAAGCCAGCAUCGGCGGCACGGUUGAUCCCUACCCUGCUUCCGUGCCCACCGCUCUACGCGCCUGCGCACACCUCGCCGAUUCCGGCCGCCUCAUCCACGCGCUCGUGCUCACACGCCCCGCCCUCGCCUCGGACAAAGUCAUCGCGACCGCGCUGCUCGACAUGUACGCCAAGUGCGGCCUCAUUCCAAGCGCCCGCAAGGUGUUCGACGAAACGCCGGCGAGGGACCUCGUCGUCUGGAAUGCGCUGCUCGCGGGCUACGCGCGGCACGGGCUUCCAGAGCACGCGCUGGCGCUGGCUGUCAAGAUGCGGGGCCUCGGCCUGAGCCCCGAUCUGGUCACCUGGAAUGCUGCCGUGUCGGGCUUUGCCAUGGCCGGCGAUGGCAGAAUGGCCAGCGAUUUGGUCGGCGCCAUGCAAGAGGAGGGGUUCCAGCCAGAUGUGGUGACAUGGACAUCGCUCGUCUCUGGCUCGGUGCUGAACUUCCAGUAUGGGAGAGCGCGAACCCUGUUCCGGGAAAUGGUGGCCGGUGGCGCCCGUGUCCUGCCAAGCUCGGCCACGAUUAGUAGCAUCUUGCCAGCAUUUGCCGGAGUCGGUGACACAAAGCAUGGGAAGGAGGUCCACGGCUACGCUGUCGUGACCGGUGUCGAGCAGGAGCUCACGGUGAGCAGCGCGCUCGUCGACAUGUUCGCCAAGUCCGGGCUUGUGCACGAGGCGUGCCGCUUGUUCGACAAAAUGUCAGAAAGGAGCACCGUGACAUGGAAUUCCAUGAUCUUCGGGCUGGCGAAUUCCGGCCACUGCCGGGAAGCAGUCAGCCUCUUCGACCGGAUGCUGGACGAAGAAGCGACGCCGGACCACCUGACGUUCACGGCCGUUCUGACAGCUUGUGGCUACGGUGGCAUGGUCGAGACCGGGAAGGCCCUGUACCAGCGCAUGCAAGAGGAGCACGGCAUCGUGGCGAGGCUGGAGCACUACGCCUGCAUGGUGCAUUUGCUUGGCCGAGCCGGGAGGCUCGUCGAGGCUCACGAUUUCAUCAGGGCGAUGCCCAUCGAGCCCGACUGCUUCGUCUGGGGGGCGCUGCUCGGUGCCUGCCGGAGCCACGGGAACGUCGAGCUCGCGGAGCUGGCGGCGUCCCGCGUGCGCACCGUCGAGCCAGAAAACGCCGCGAGCUACGUGCUGCUCUCGGGAGCGCUGGCAGAUGCCGGCAAGCAGAACGACGUUUUCAAGAUCAAAAGGUUGGUGAAGAGACGGCGGCUGAAGAGGCUUGACGGUUGCAGCUGGCUAGAGACGUCCUAG